rnacentral:rRNA from 1 species
ACGGAAGGCAGCAGUGAGGAAUAUUGGUCAAUGGGCGGAAGCCUGAACCAGCCAAGUCGCGUGAAGGAUGAAGGUAUUAUGUAUUGUAAACUUCUUUAGACGUAGAGAAAUAAGGGGAUCGUGAUCCCUGAUGCUAGUAUACGUAGAAUAAGGAUCGGCUAACUCCGUGCCAGCAGCCGCGGUAAUACGGAGGAUCCGAGCGUUAUCCGGAUUUAUUGGGUUUAAAGGGUGCGCAGGCGGCUUUUUAAGUCAGUGGUUAAAUCGUGGAGCUUAACUCCAUCCCGCCAUUGAUACUGGAGAGCUUGAGUGCGGUUGAGGUUGGCGGAAUUCGCCGUGUAGCGGUGAAAUGCAUAGAUAUGGCGAAGAACUCCGAUUGCGUAGGCAGCUGACCAAGCCGUAAAUGACGCUCAUGCACGAAAGUGCGGGGAUCGAACAGGAUUAGAUACCCUGGUA